ACCGCACCUGCGGACCGUAUGGAACUGCAGGGGUUAAAAUCUACAUUGUGAAACGUGCAAAAACUUCAUAUCUCUGACUUCUGAUUAAUCAUGCCUAAACAAUUUAACGAAGGUAGUUGCAAAUUUGCUUCCCCGAGGCCAUGUACCGGAGCCUAACUCACGAGCGAGGAACUCUCCCAGUUACAGGAAUACAUUUGCAUUCAUCUUCCUUGUGGUUACCCCGAAACAAUCAUUUUUCCUUGUCUCUGGCCAUGUCUGAAACCGCACUGUGUGCUCAACAGUAACACACACAGAGCGAGAUUCGGAUCAGAGAUAAUCCUUACUCAGUUCUUAAGCUAAAGUCUAUUGCACCAGAAAGUGCCACAACUGUACUUCAUAUAGGACAUACCCCAAGGAAGAGGCACAAAGCUGAAUCUCCUGAUUUACACAAAGCAGUGACAGCAGCCGCAUGGCUCUAAUUUGACGAGAGAGAAGCCAGUAGAGAGGGAGACUGUUGACUUCUCCACCCAUAAAGUCAGAGAGAGUCACAUGUCAGUCACACCUCAGAUCUCCUUAUGGGUGAUUUUGACUUUUUUUUUUUUUUUUUUAAUUUUUCACGUUUGCAAACUGCUUUGAACGGCUUCUGGGUUAUUUUUUUUAAUUUUAUUCUUUGUUUGUUUUUUUGGGUUUUUUUUGGUACUGCAAGGGAGGACGGAGGCUGCAGCUUCUGAGGAUACGAAGAAUCGCAGAACAAAGCCUUUGCUGGGAUCAUGGGUGAACUGAGGCUCUUCACCUCAAGGCAAGAGACUCUGCUGGUUCUGGCCAGAGCUGUGCCCACAGCAAGGCAGCUGCAUCAUCCCUGUGCUGCGGGGGCUGUCAGCUGGCACUGCCGAGCGGAGCUCAUGUCUCUGUCCCUCUGCCACACAUCCGAGCCCACAGCAGAGGUGGAAGUCCCCAUCGUAGCACAAGAGAGCACUGGGCUGUGCCAAGGAGGAACCUGUGAGACCGAGGCGCAGCCACUCAGUUUCAUGGAGAUGCUACCUGAGAGACCAUCUGCUGCUCUGAUUUGCCUUCAUAAAGAAAUCUCUGAUGGCAGCACCAUCAUGGGUUGCUGGAGAAAGGUUACCAGCUGAGCAAAGCCCCAGUAUGGACACAUGCCCAGCGGAGGCACUGAGGGAAGGUUACUACCCCUCAUAUGUUGUGAAAGACUUCCUGGCCUCUAGACCCCGGUGCUGUGUGCUGCAGUGAUUCCAGAGGAGAAAUGAAGCUCAGGUCUUCUCAGAAACAAGGAAAAUGUAGCAAGGGAGGACCAGAGGAGAAGCUUAUCAAGAAUGUACAGAGCUCACCUUUGGAGACUGUAUACCUGCAGCCCAUGUCACACUGCUUGUGGUCCUCCCAGUGCUGCCUUCACCCAUGAGUAUGGGAUUCCUGUGCAGCUGCAGACAAGUGGAUGGAUUUUUCUCUGAAAUAUUCUAUUUUGAAUUUAUUCCAUGGGCUUUAAGGAGAUCCUCAUAAGCACUCUGCAGAGUAACUACUCCCUGAGUAGCCUAAGGGCUCCUUGCAGAGCAGGCAUGUUUCUGAGCUCUGGAGGAGAGUGCAUGCUCCCAAGGGACCAUACCAAGGAAAUUUAUUUGGCCAUCACUGUGUGCCUGACUAGACACAGCCUUAGGUACUUCUCUGAGUAAGCAGCGUUGAUCUCUACCUUUGGUCUUAGUGAUUGAUGGCAUUAAGUUAUAGGAUGAGCCUAUCUCCUCAGUGACAGAUGGAUUGGGCACACCCUGACAAUUUUUUUCUCAUGCACUUUUGUCAAGGAAAAGAGCAAUCCUUUGAGAGGUUUUUGGGCUAUAAAUAUGUCAUUGUUGAGGACUGAAGUGACAGAGACAGCAGAAGCCUCACCAGCACCAGGGCUUUCAGCUGGACCUGAGAAAGCAGUUCCUCCACAGCCCUGUGCCAGAGCCAGGGGGGAACAGUCCCAUGUCCCUGCCCAGGAUGCGUCAGGAGUUCAAUAUCUGGUGAUACCCUUGCUUUGUGAUCACCUCAUCCCAGCAUUGUGUCUUGCAGCAGUACCCAGAGCAUCCUCAAUCUAGCAGCACCUCACCAGGCAACCUCGGGUUUCCAGCAGCUAGGUCAAGAGCAGAGAGAAGCAACAAAUUCAAGUAAUAAAUAAUGCUGGGGAAAACCA
rnacentral:lncRNA from 1 species